rnacentral:rRNA from 1 species
GGACCCGCACAAGCGGUGGAGCAUGUGGUUUAAUUCGAUGCAACGCGAAGAACCUUACCUGGCCUUGACAUCCUCGGAACCCUGCAGAGAUGCGGGGGUGCCUUCGGGAACCGAGAGACAGGUGCUGCAUGGCUGUCGUCAGCUCGUGUCGUGAGAUGUUGGGUUAAGUCCCGCAACGAGCGCAACCCUUGUCCUUAGUUGCCAUCAUUCAGUUGGGAACUCUAAGGAGACCGCCGGUGACAAACCGGAGGAAGGUGGGGAUGACGUCAAGUCAUCAUGGCCUCCAUGGCCAGGGCUACACACGUGCUACAAUGGCAGGUACAGAGGGAAGCCAACUCGCGAGAGGGAGCUAAUCCCAGAAAGCCUGUCGUAGUCCGGAUCGGAGUCUGCAACUCGACUCCGUGAAGUCGGAAUCGCUAGUAAUCGCAGAUCAGCAUUGCUGCGGUGAAUACGUUCCCGGGUCUU